GGAUGCCACUUUUCCGUAUUUAUACGGAAUUCCGGCUUUUUUCCUGCUAUCUGUCUUAUUUCCGUAUUUCCGACUUUUCCUGUUUUCUGUGUAUUAAAAAAAACGGAAAGCCCUCCUUUUUUCCCCCCUAUUUCUUCCGAUUGCGAUGCAUGUCGAUCGACCGAGUGAGAGAUAUUUCCCCGAGAUAUUUGCUUUUAUACAGUACAUAAAUUAUAAACCCGCGCACUGCCUACUACGUUCAUUGAGUUAUGCUUUUAUCAAGGCUUUCUGAUUAGAAUUAUCGAUAUCCUGGCCAAUCAAUGCGAGCGACAAGUUCCAAACGCACGCACAUAGACAAGCGCAAAGUAGCGGCACGAAUCGCGGUAUAAUAGCGACUGGUAAAUACGUCUGUACAGAUGAUGACGUCAUCCAAGAUGGCAACUUACGAUGACCAACGAAGGAAUCAAGGAUGACUAAGUUUUGAUCAUCAUUUGAAAGGAAUUAGCGGUAACUGCGGUCUAAGUCUAUGUAUUGGUGAGUGGAGCCAACGCGGUUCAGCUGAACAACCAAAAUACAGACUGAAGCUUUUGGUCUAGCGUUCUAUGAGAAACACACAACUAACUACCGUCAGUUUUUCAAACCUAAUUGACUUCAAAGUCAUCGAUCACAACAAG